rnacentral:rRNA from 1 species
AGUGAACGCUGGCGGUAGGCCUAACACAUGCAAGUCGAACGGCAGCACAGUAAGAGCUUGCUCUUACGGGUGGCGAGUGGCGGACGGGUGAGGAAGACAUCGGAAUCUACUUUUUCGUGGGGGAUAACGUAGGGAAACUUACGCUAAUACCGCAUACGACCUACGGGUGAAAGCAGGGGAUCUUCGGACCUUGCGCGAUUGAAUGAGCCGAUGUCGGAUUAGCUAGUUGGCGGGGUAAAGGCCCACCAAGGCGACGAUCCGUAGCUGGUCUGAGAGGAUGAUCAGCCACACUGGAACUGAGACACGGUCCAGACUCCUACGGGAGGCAGCAGUGGGGAAUAUUGGACAAUGGGCGCAAGCCUGAUCCAGCCAUAUCGCGUGGGUGCAGAAGGCCUUCUGGUUGUAAAGCCCUUUUGUUGGGAAAGAAAAGCAGCAGGUUAAUACCCCGCUGUUCUGACGGUACCCAAAGAAUAAGCACCGGCUAACUUCGUG